rnacentral:rRNA from 1 species
UACGGGAGGCAGCAGUGGGGAAUAUUGCACAAUGGGCGCAAGCCUGAUGCAGCCAUGCCGCGUGUAUGAAGAAGGCCUUCGGGUUGUAAAGUACUUUCAGUCGUGAGGAAGGUGUUAAGGUUAAUAACCUUAGCAAUUGACGUUAGCGACAGAAGAAGCACCGGCUAACUCCGUGCCAGCAGCCGCGGUAAUACGGAGGGUGCGAGCGUUAAUCGGAAUUACUGGGCGUAAAGGGCACGCAGGCGGUUAAUAAGUUGGAUGUGAAAUCCCCGGGCUUAACCUGGGAAUGGCAUUCAAGACUGGUUAGCUAGAGUCUUGUAGAGGGGGUAGAAUUCCAUGUGUAGCGGUGAAAUGCGUAGAGAUGUGGAGGAAUACCGGUGGCGAAGGCGGCCCCUGGACAAAGACUGACGCUCAUGUGCGAAAGCGUGGGGAGCAAACAGGGAUUGAUACC